GUGAAUUAAGGGACAAAGUGGUUAUUCCGUGAAAUGCGUGUCCCGGUGUCUUUAGUGCUCCUUGAGGGCUGCUGCUGGGAUUGGGUGAAUGGGGGACAAAGGAACAAACAGCAAGGCUUAAUACAGGAGGAAAUGGGAUGGAGGGGGACUUCAGACAUCAUCCCGCUACGUCCCUUACCCAUUGUUGAGUAAGUCUGGUCCCUGUAGCUGGACUCGCAAGCCGCAGAUUGAAAUGAAGAUGGAGCUCUGGGUGGGAGCCCGAGACAAGGGGCCGUGAACUGCCAACCUUCGGGAUAAGAAAGGGCACGACGAGGGGUGACGUCAGCCAGGUGAAUGGACACGGCGAGACCCAGCAGGAUCAGGGAAUUGCCGACCUGUCGGAUAUCAAAGGAGAUGAAGACCAGUGACACCGGCGAGGUGGAUGGACAGGGAGAGGAGUGCAGGAGCCGAGAUGUGUGCGCGGGGAGACUGUGAGGGGAUAAAGACCCAGGGGUCCCUUGUGCGAGUAUCCUACUCGGAGGUACCAGCUCGAGCUGUUUCUGUGUUACUGCAGAGGAAUAAAUGGCUUUGUGGAACGAGACAUCUGAGACUUUGCUAUGGACAACCUGGGGUCGAACCGACGUCUUAGAAGAAAGGCAAGUUUUUAUUUACGAGAUGGCAGCAUGGAGUAAACACAAGACAUCUCUAUGCUCUUCUCAGAAGGAAGUAUUGCAUCUCAAGUCCUUUUUCAAGUGGACGCAUGCUUGUUCACAAAUAGUUUUGGUUUUACAGGUCACUCCCCAGCCUAAGACCAGGAGACCCUACAGUCCACGUCAAAUGUUUCAGAAUGGUAUCAGUAACCCCCCCUGUGAUUAGAAUCAGAUUUAGUUGGUAGUAACUUUGAUAACUGAUUAGGCUAAAAUUUGAUUUCACGCUUUUAAGAUAAGGGAGUGCUGAUAAGGCCGAAGAGUCAUAUAGGCACAACAGGAACUGUUCAUUCAUUAUUAGCCAAAAAAAGUUGCAAAAUAAAUAAUAGAUUCAAUCACUAAA